UACGUAGGGUGCAAGCGUUGUCCGGAAUUAUUGGGCGUAAAGAGCUCGUAGGCGGUUUGUUGCGUCGGCUGUGAAAUCCCGAGGCUCAACCUCGGGUCUGCAGUCGAUACGAGCAAACUAGAGUGUUGCAGGGGAGACUGGAAUUCCUGGUGUAGCGGUGAAAUGCGCAGAUAUCAGGAGGGACACCAAUAGCGAAGGCAGCUCGCUGGGACGUUACUGACACUGAGGCGCGAAAGCGUGGGGAGCGAACAGG
rnacentral:rRNA from 1 species